rnacentral:rRNA from 1 species
GACGAACGCUGGCGGCGUGCUUAACACAUGCAAGUCGAACGGAAAGGCGCUGCUUUUGUGUGGUGCUCGAGUGGCGAACGGGUGAGUAACACGUGAGUAUCCUGCCCUUGACUUUGUGAUAACUUCAGGAAACUGGGGCUAAUAUCGGGUAGAAGCUCCUGCUGCAUGGUGUGGGUUGGAAAGUGUCGGCGGUUGGGGAUGGACUCGCGGCUUAUCAGCUUGUUGGUGGGGUAGUGGCUUACCAAGGCUUCGACGGGUAGGCGGCCUGAGAGGGUGAACGGGCACAUUGGGACUGAGAGACGGAGCAGACGGGUAAGGGAGGCAGCAGUCGGGAAUAUUGCGGAGUGGGGGGAAGCCUGAGGCAGCGACGCCGCGUGCGGGAUGACGGGCUUCGGGUUGUAAACCGCUUUGGCCUGUGACGAAGAGUGAGUGACGGUAAUGGGUAAAGAAGCACCGGCUAACUACGUG